rnacentral:lncRNA from 1 species
UUUAUAUUUUAUCUCGUACUUCAUAUUACGUUUGUUGUUGACUAUCCCUAUACGCAGUAGGUUUGUUAAGUCAGUAUUUGGAGUGUUUAGACAAAUGAGUUGUUCAUCAGAGUAUAUUCCCACUUCUUUCCUUAGGCAUUAGUUGCUAUUCAGAUUCUGGAAUAUUUCCUGAAUAAUUCCAUGUAUGUGAGAGCGCAUGAAUUUGCAGUUUUAUUUAAAAUUGUGCUCGUUCUCGUCAAUUUUUUUCCCUAUCACUUAUCAUAUUUUUUUUUCUUCCUAUUAUUUAUCAUAGUGCCAUAGACCUUGUAAGUUCACCAUUCAUUCUGUUUUCUUCCUUACUUAUUCUUAUAUUAGUACCUUAUCUGAGUCUGGUUAUUCUCAUACAUCUGUUGUAGCAACAUGCUAUAGUUCGCGAAUACCAGCACGAAUUAAGUUAUGUAUUUUCUAGAAUAUUUUAGUCAAUACACUAUAGGUAUUUAUCUUACCUUUGAUUUAGUUUGGUUACAUCUCUGUUACUUAGUCUGUUAGUAAUUUAUUCUGACUUAUUUUGAUUACUUAGUUUGGAUAGGUCCAUAUUACCGGAUGAGGGUGUAUGUAGACCUAAUUUAGUUAUUUUGUUCAGUAUUAGUUACCAUUGGAUCCAAUAAUUUAGUUUAUUUAGUAUUAGUAAGAAUUGGUCCAUAAAUUUGCCUGAUCGUUCUUCUUUGGAUAUACUCCUAUAUAAAUCUGGUGUCCAUUGAUAGUCCGAUUCUGGAUAAGUGUCCGAUUCUUCAUUUAUUUUGUGUAGUUAGUUGGAUAGGUUCGUAUCACCGGAUGUGAGUGUACGUAGACCUGAUCUGUUUAUGUGGUUUAGUAUUGGUGUGAAUUGGUCCAUAAAUUUGCCUGGUCGUUCUUCUUUGGAUAUGCCUUUUAUGAAUCUGGUGUCCACUGAUAGUCCGACUUUGGAUUAAGUGUCCGAUUCCACAUUUAUUUUGAUUAUUGAGUUUUGGAUUCCUUUGGUAUGUUUAUUAUUGGUAUUAUUUGGCAUUAGUGAGAAUUGUUCCAUAAAUCUUCCUGAUUGUUCUUCUCUGGAUAUACUAUUAUGAAUCUGGUGUCCAUUGUUAGUUCAGUUUUGGAUAAAGUGUUCAAUUCUUUACUUAUUUUAGUUACUGUUUUUUUAUUCACUUUGAUAUAUUUUCUUGUGAUAUGGUUCGAAUUGGCUCACACCUUUUCCUGGUUGUUCCGUCCUUGGAUAUAUCCUUUAUAAAUCUGAUGUCCAUGGAUAGUUCAAUUUUGGUUUUAGUGCCCAAUUCGACACUUAGCAUUAUUAUGAACUUUAGUGCAAUAUUUAGUUCUGUUUUGACUUUUAAGCAAUAUUAUGUCAAUAUUUGGUAGCAGAGAGUAACAGUAACAUUUUAGUAUGAAUUUGAGUCAUAUAUUUAUUUUUCCUUGAUCAUUAGUUUAUAUUUAGAAGUAAUCUUGCGAAUCAACGUGGAUUGUUAGACUAUUGUAAAUUUAGUUGUUAAUAUUUUGAAGUUUAGAAAAAAAAAUUUUAUGGAUAAAAUUUUUUUCCCGAGUAGAAGGGGAUUGUAACGGUCACGUUACAAAAUUAGCUCUUUAAUUAUUAUUAUAAUUAUUUUUCCUCGGUCUCCAUUUAAAUUCUCUAAUUUCUCGUAUAGGACUACUGGGGUGACGUCAUACCUCGGUGAUGGAACGUACUCCACCUAUCGAGAAUGAUUUCGUUUUCUGAGAGAGUUUGACGUUUACCUUGGCGGAGAAGCGCCUCUCGUUCUUUACUUGACUGUUGGCUGUUGUGUCGAAUAGAGGUACCAUAUAGAAUGGCGGAUGAUUUCAUCCAACUUAUUUUAUAACAUCAAGCAAUUUAAAGUAAAGUAAAAAGUUACCACCAAGGAUUGUCUGGAGUGAGGAGACAUGUGGGUGACAACUCCUGUUGGAGUCUAAAUAGGAAUCAUUCGCCAUUUGGGAGAAACCCUACCAUGAAGUCAUAGACCUUAUUUGACCACCUAGAGAAACCACUACAGCCACAGUCAAGUCAUCAUGGGAGUAUGUCGAUUUGGGAGCAAGCUAUGGGAGCGUUCCAGCUCAAUUUUCGUCUUGGCACCUGGGCCUACAGGAGUCAUGGGGUCGCACCAUCCUGGUGCAUCAUUUUCUAGGAUGCAACCGCAACCUCGUUUGGGAACAUUUAGUGAGGUGUUUUAGUAACUAUUGGUUUUUUUAUAUUUCAGACUAUCUGUUAAAUACACUAUGUUUUUUUCCAGAUUUAGGUUACCUCUGGUUUUUUUUUUGACAUAUUUGUAUAUUAGAUUAUUUGGUUCCCAAACUUUGUAUCUACGGUAACUUCUUGUGCACAGGAAUAAGCCUAGAGAAAAUUAGGUUUUUAAUACUUUAUUAUUGCUUUGAUAUUGGUUUAUGUAAUUAGGGUAAAUUUAUUUUUUUUAAUAUUACUAGCUUGUUUCCCAAAUAUUUUACUGUUAUUCGCUUUAUUCCAUUUGUUCGGUUAAUUUAGGUCAUCGUCGGUAUUUAUCUCAACUUCAUUUCUACUUUAGUCAAUUGUAUAUUUAACUUUAUUUAUUCAUUAUUGUAUUUUCCCUUAGUGAGGCUUGGACCUAUUUAUUUGUAGUAUUUUCAUCUUUGUCAGUUUCCUUUAGUUGUACGUAGCAGGCGUACUAUAACCAUUUGGUAGAAGACUUAUGUAAUUUUGUACCCUAUAUAUAUGUAAGAGGUAUUUAAGUUUAUAACAGAUAACAUUAUUGUUGUUAUCUUUAAAAUAUAUAUAGCUUCUUGUAUAACUUAUGUCAUUUUAGAGUUACAUGAUAUAUGCUUGUCUAGCUCAGAGAUUGUUAAAAAUCUAGUAGUUAUUUUAAUAAAUAUUUAUUUAUUUUGUA